rnacentral:rRNA from 1 species
GAUGAACGCUGGCGGCGUGCCUAAUACAUGCAAGUCGAGCGAACAGACGAGGAGCUUGCUCCUCUGACGUUAGCGGCGGACGGGUGAGUAACACGUGGAUAACCUACCUAUAAGACUGGGAUAACUUCGGGAAACCGGAGCUAAUACCGGAUAAUAUAUUGAACCGCAUGGUUCAAUAGUGAAAGACGGUUUUGCUGUCACUUAUAGAUGGAUCCGCGCCGCAUUAGCUAGUUGGUAAGGUAACGGCUUACCAAGGCAACGAUGCGUAGCCGACCUGAGAGGGUGAUCGGCCACACUGGAACUGAGACACGGUCCAGACUCCUACGGGAGGCAGCAGUAGGGAAUCUUCCGCAAUGGGCGAAAGCUUGACGGAGCAACACCGCGUGAGUGAUGAAGGUCUUCGGAUCGUAAAGCUCUGUUAUUAGGGAAGAACAAAUGUGUAAGUAACUAUGCACGUCUUGACGGUACCUAAUCAAAAAGCCACGGCUAACUACGUG